rnacentral:rRNA from 1 species
GGUAUGGGAUGAGCUUGCGUCCGAUUAGCUAGUUGGCGGGGCAACGGCCCACCAAGGCGACGAUCGGUAGCCGGCCUGAGAGGGUGAUCGGCCACAUUGGGACUGAGAUACGGCCCAGACUCCUACGGGAGGCAGCAGUAGGGAAUAUUGCACAAUGGGGGGAACCCUGAUGCAGCAACGCCACGUGUGGGAAGAAGCAUUUCGGUGUGUAAACCACUGUCGUGGGGGAAUAAGGCCUGUUCUAGGACAGGAUUGAAUGUACCUCGAAAGGAAGCACCGGCAAACUUCGUGCCAGCAGCCGCGGUAAUACGAGGGGUGCAAGCGUUGUUCGGAAUCACUGGGCGUAAAGGGAGCGUAGGCGGAGAUUCAAGCGGAUUGUACAAUCCCGGGGCCCAACCCCGGACCUGCAGUCCGAACUGGAUCUCUUGGAUAGUUCAGGGGCAGGC